GAUUAUUUUAGUUAGAUGAGGCUCCUAUGCUGGAGAUAUGCUGCUCCUAGAAACGUUCAAAGACGCCAAUGGGUCAACAGGAACCAUCGACAUAAGGUGUUUUUUAUGUAGCUGGAACAUGCUAAACCGCAUAGUGCAAAAGCUCAACGAUUGCUGAAUUGUAU
rnacentral:sRNA from 2 species